UACGUAGGGUGCAAGCGUUGUCCGGAAUUAUUGGGCGUAAAGGGCUCGUAGGCGGUCCAUCGCGUCGGGAGUGAAAAGCUGGGGCUCAACCCCAGUCCUGCUUCCGAUACGGGUGGACUAGAGGUAUGCAGGGGAGAACGGAAUUCCUGGUGUAGCGGUGAAAUGCGUAGAUAUCUGGAGGAACACCGGUGGCGAAGGCGGCAUCCUGGACCGGUAUUGACGCUGAGGCGCGAAAGCGUGGGGAGCAAACAGG
rnacentral:rRNA from 1 species